UCUGCCCUUAAGUGUGGAAUAACGUACCGAAAGGUGCGCUAAUACCGCAUAAUGCCUGGCAACACAAGUUGUCCGGCCAAAGAAGGCCUCUGUUUACAAGCUUUCGCUUCAGGAUGAGUCCGCGUACCAUUAGCUUGUUGGUGGGGUAAUGGCCUACCAAGGCUGCGAUGGUUAGCUGGUCUGAGAGGAUGAUCAGCCACACUGGAACUGAGACACGGUCCAGACUCCUACGGGAGGCAGCAGUGAGGAAUAUUGCGCAAUGGGGGCAACCCUGACGCAGCAACGCCGCGUGAGUGAGGAAGGUUUUCGGACCGUAAAGCUCUGUCGAGUGGGAAGAAGUGUAUCAUGGCUAAUAUCCGUGAUAUUUGACGGUACCGCUAGAGGAAGCACCGGCUAACUCCGUGCCAGCAGCCGCGGUAAUACGGGGGGUGCAAGCGUUGUUCGGAAUUAUUGGGCGUAAAGAGCGUGUAGGCGGCCGAGCAAGUCAGAUGUGAAAUCCCCGGGCUUAACCCGGGAAGUGCAUUUGAAACUGCUAGGCUUGAGUAGGGGAGAGGAAAGUGGAAUUCCUGGUGUAAAGGUGAAAUUCGUAAAUAUCAGGAGGAACACCGGUGGCGAAGGCGACUUUCUGGCCCUAUACUGACGCUGAGACGCGAGAGCGUGGGUAGCAAACAGGAUUAAAUACCCUGGUAGUCCACGCCGUAAACGAUGUUCACUA
rnacentral:rRNA from 1 species